rnacentral:rRNA from 1 species
GUAGGCAACCUGCCUCUCAGACUGGGAUAACAUAGGGAAACUUAUGCUAAUACCGGAUAGGUUUUUGGAUCGCAUGAUCUGAAAAGAAAAGAUGGCUUUUCGCUAUCACUGGGAGAUGGGCCUGCGGCGCAUUAGCUAGUUGGUGGGGUAACGGCCUACCAAGGCGACGAUGCGUAGCCGACCUGAGAGGGUGACCGGCCACACUGGGACUGAGACACGGCCCAGACUCCUACGGGAGGCAGCAGUAGGGAAUUUUCCACAAUGGACGAAAGUCUGAUGGAGCAACGCCGCGUGAACGAUG